rnacentral:rRNA from 1 species
UACAGAGGGGGCAAGCGUUGUUCGGAAUUACUGGGCGUAAAGCGCGCGCAGGCGGUCCUUUAAGUCAGGGGUGAAAGCCCAGAGCUCAACCUCUGGAACUGCCUUUGAAACUAGGAGACUUGGGUACGGGAGAGGUGAGUGGAAUUCCGGAGUGUAGAGGUGAAAUUCGUAGAUAUUCGGAAGAACACCAGUGGCGAAGGCGGCUCACUGGCCCGUUACCGACGCUCAGGCG